rnacentral:rRNA from 5 species
GCGACCCCAGGUCAGUCGGGAUUACCC